UACAUAGGUCUCAAGCGUUGUUCGGAUUUAUUGGGCGUAAAGGGUGCGUAGGCGGCGCGGUAAGUCGGAUGUGAAAUCUCGGAGCUUAACUUCGAAACUGCAUUCGAUACUGCCGUGCUUGAGGACUGGAGAGGAGACUGGAAUUUACGGUGUAGCGGUGAAAUGCGUAGAUAUCGUAAGGAAGACCAGUGGCGAAGGCGGGUCUCUGGACAGUUCCUGACGCUGAGGCACGAAGGUGAGGGGAGCAAACGGG
rnacentral:rRNA from 1 species